rnacentral:rRNA from 1 species
AGAGUUUGAUCAUGGCUCAGGACGAACGCUGGCGGCGUGCUUAACACAUGCAAGUCGAGCGGUAAGGCCCUUCGGGGUACACGAGCGGCGAACGGGUGAGUAACACGUGGGUGACCUGCCCCCAACUCUGGGAUAAGCCCGGGAAACUGGGUCUAAUACCGGAUAUGACCACAUGUCGCAUGGUGUGUGGUGGAAAGUUUUUCGGUUGGGGAUGGGCCCGCGGCCUAUCAGCUUGUUGGUGGGGUGAUGGCCUACCAAGGCGACGACGGGUAGCCGGCCUGAGAGGGCGACCGGCCACACUGGGACUGAGACACGGCCCAGACUCCUACGGGAGGCAGCAGUGGGGAAUAUUGCGCAAUGGGCGAAAGCCUGACGCAGCGACGCCGCGUGGGGGAUGACGGCCUUCGGGUUGUAAACCUCUUUCGCCAGGGACGAAGCGCAAGUGACGGUACCUGGAUAAGAAGCACCGGCCAACUACGUGCCAGCAGCCGCGGUAAUACGUAGGGUGCGAGCGUUGUCCGGAAUUAUUGGGCGUAAAGAGCUCGUAGGCGGUCUGUCGCGUCGGUCGUGAAAACUUGGGGCUUAACCCUGAGCUUGCGGUCGAUACGGGCAUGACUGGAGUUCGGCAGGGGAGACUGGAAUUCCUGGUGUAGCGGUGAAAUGCGCAGAUAUCAGGAGGAACACCGGUGGCGAAGGCGGGUCUCUGGGCCGAUACUGACGCUGAGGAGCGAAAGCGUGGGGAGCGAACAGGAUUAGAUACCCUAGUAGUCC